AGCAGCCGCGGUAAUUCCAGCUCCAAUAGCGUAUAUUAAAGUUGUUGCAGUUAAAAAGCUUGUAGUUGAAUUUCGGGAUCAGUACGCCGGUCGUGCCUCCGGUAUGUACUGGUGUCACUGAUUCCUCCCUUCUGAAGAACUAUCAUGCCAUUAACUUGGUGUGGUGGGAAUCAGGACUGUUACUUUGAAAAAAUUGAGUGUUUAAAGCAGGCUCACGCUUGAAUACAUUAGCAUGGAAUAAUGAAAUAGGUACGUUUAUCCUUAUUUUGUUGGUUUCUAGGAUUGACGUAAUGAUUAAUAGGGAUAGUUGGGGGCAUUAGUAUUCAAUUGUCAGUAGGUGAAAUUCUUGGAUUUAUUGUAAGACUUAACUACUAGCGAAAGCAUUUGCCAAGGUAUGUUUUAC
rnacentral:rRNA from 1 species